GACGAACGCUGGCGGCGUGCUUAACACAUGCAAGUCGAACGGAAAGGCCCUGCUUUUGUGGGGUGCUCGAGUGGCGAACGGGUGAGUAACACGUGAGUAACCUGCCCUUGACUUUGGGAUAACUUCAGGAAACUGUGGCUAAUACCGGAUAGGAGCUCCUGCUGCAUGGUGGGGGUUGGAAAGUUUCGGCGGUUGGGGAUGGACUCGCGGCUUAUCAGCUUGUUUGUGGGGUAGUGGCUUACCAAGGCUUUGACGGGUAGGCGGCCUGAGAGGGUGACCGGGCACAUUGGGACUGAGAUACGGAACAGACUGCAACGGGAGGCAGCAGGGGGGAAUAGUGAACAAUGGGCGGAAGCCUGAUGAAGAAAAGCCGGGUGCGGGAUGACGGGCUUUGGGUUGUAAACAGAUUUAGAAUGUGACGAAGAGUGAGUGACGGUAAUGGGUAAAGAAGCACCGGCUAACUACGUG
rnacentral:rRNA from 1 species